GACGAACGCUGGCGGCGUGCUUAACACAUGCAAGUCGAACGGAAAGGCCCUGCUUUUGUGGGGUGCUCGAGUGGCGAACGGGUGAGUAACACGUGAGUAACCUGCCCUUGACUUUGGGAUAACUUCAGGAAACUGGGGCUAAUACCGGAUAGGAGCUCCUGCUGCAUGGUGGGGGUUGGAAAGUUUCGGCGGGUGGGGAUGGACUCGCGGCUUAUCAGUUUGUUGGUGGGGUAGUGGCUUACCAAGGCUUUGACGGGUAGCCGGCCUGAGAGGGUGACCGGCCACAUUGGGACUGAGAUACGGCCCAGACUCAUACGGGAGGCAGCAGUGGGGAAUAUUGCACAAUGGGCGGAAGACUGAUGCAGCAACGCCGAGUGCGGGAGGACGGCCUUCGGGUUGGAAACCGCCUUCGCCUGUGACGAAGCGUGAGUGACGGUAAUGGGUAAAGAAGCACCGGCUAACUACGUG
rnacentral:rRNA from 1 species